rnacentral:rRNA from 1 species
AGAGUUUGAUCCUGGCUCAGGAUGAACGCUGGCGGCGUGCUUAACACAUGCAAGUCGAGCGAAGCAAUUUAAGUGAAGUUUUCGGAUGGAUCUUAAAUUGACUGAGCGGCGGACGGGUGAGUAACGCGUGGAUAACCUGCCUCACACAGGGGGAUAACAGUUAGAAAUGACUGCUAAUACCGCAUAAGCGCACGGUACCGCAUGGUACAGUGUGAAAAACUCCGGUGGUGUGAGAUGGAUCCGCGUCUGAUUAGGUAGUUGGUGAGGUAACGGCCCACCAAGCCGACGAUCAGUAGCCGACCUGAGAGGGUGACCGGCCACAUUGGGACUGAGACACGGCCCAAACUCCUACGGGAGGCAGCAGUGGGGAAUAUUGCACAAUGGGCGAAAGCCUGAUGCAGCAACGCCGCGUGAGUGAAGAAGUAUCUCGGUAUGUAAAGCUCUAUCAGCAGGGAAGAAAAUGACGGUACCUGACUAAGAAGCCCCGGCUAACUACGUGCCAGCAGCCGCGGUAAUACGUAGGGGGCAAGCGUUAUCCGGAUUUACUGGGUGUAAAGGGAGCGCAGACGGCACUGCAAGUCUGAAGUGAAAGCCCGGGGCUCAACCCCGGGACUGCUUUGGAAACUGUAGAGCUAGAGUGCUGGAGAGGCAAGCGGAAUUCCUAGUGUAGCGGUGAAAUGCGUAGAUAUUAGGAAGAACACCAGUGGCGAAGGCGGCUUACUGGACGGUAACUGACGUUGAGGCUCGAAAGCGUGGGGAGCAAACAGGAUUAGAUACCCUGGUAGUCCACGCCGUAAACG